rnacentral:rRNA from 1 species
UACGUAGGGACCAAGCGUUGUUCGGAUUUACUGGGCGUAAAGGGCGCGUAGGCGGCGUGGUAAGUCAGUUGUGAAAUCUCCGAGCUUAACUCGGAACGGCCAACUGAUACUGGCUGUGCUAGAGUGCAGAAGGGGCAAUCAGAAUUCUUGGUGUAGCGGUGAAAUGCGUAGAUAUCAAGAGGAAUACCUGAGGUGAAGACGGGUUGCUAGGCUGACACUGACGCUGAGGCGCGAAAGCCAGGGGAGCAAACGGG